AGACCGAUGACGAUAUCUGCAGCAUGGAUUGCAAAACUGAGCUUUUAGAGAAUCUUAAGCUUUCUCAGGGGCCUCGAAGCAACCGAAGUAUAGUUGAAGCGUCAUGUGGCCCUAAAGUCCCAUUACAAGUUUUUGAAAGUGGAGGAGACACUUGGGAUUUCAACCGUCAUCGCUGGUCAACAAGGAGAUCCAGCCUAUCUACUUAUGAAUGUGUGAAAUGUAAAAAGGCUGGUCAUCUUGCUGAAGAUUG